UGGGGAAUAUUGGACAAUGGGGGGAACCCUGAUCCAGCAAUGCCGCGUGUGUGAAGAAGGCCUGAGGGUUGUAAAGCACUUUCAGUAGGGAGGAGGGUACCUAGGUUAAGAGCUAAGGUACUGGACGUUACCUACAGAAGAAGCACCGGCUAACUCCGUGCCAGCAGCCGCGGUAAUACGGAGGGUGCAAGCGUUAAUCGGAAUUACUGGGCGUAAAGGGUGUGUAGGUUGUUAUUUAAGUUAUCUGUGAAAUUCCUGGGCUCAACCUGGGGAGGUCAGCUAAGACUGAAUGACUAGAGUAUAGGAGAGGGUAGUGGAAUUUCCGGUGUAGCGGUGAAAUGCGUAGAGAUCGGAAGGAACACCAGUGGCGAAGGCGGCUACCUGGCCUAAUACUGACACU
rnacentral:rRNA from 1 species